rnacentral:rRNA from 1 species
UACGUAGGGUCCGAGCGUUUUCCGGAAUUACUGGGCGUAAAGAGCUCGUAGGUGGUUUGUCGCGUUGUUCGUGAAAACUCACAGCUCAACUGUGGGCGUGCGGGCGAUACGGGCAGACUUGAGUACUGCAGGGGAGACUGGAAUUCCUGGUGUAGCGGUGGAAUGCGCAGAUAUCAGGAGGAACACCGGUGGCGAAGGCGGCCAGCUGGGCCGUCCCUGACGCUGAGGCGCGAAGGCGUGGGGAGCGAACGGG